rnacentral:rRNA from 1 species
UACGGAGGGGGCUAGCGUUGUUCGGAAUUACUGGGCGUAAAGCGCACGUAGGCGGCUUUGUAAGUUAGAGGUGAAAGCCCGGGGCUCAACUCCGGAAUUGCCUUUAAGACUGCAUCGCUAGAAUUGUGGAGAGGUAAGUGGAAUUCCGAGUGUAGAGGUGAAAUUCGUAGAUAUUCGGAAGAACACCUGUGGCGAAAGCGCUCACUGGACCACAACUGACGCUGAGGCGCGAAAGCG